AUACUUAACCUCGCGGGGGAGAUACCAUGAUCACUAAGGUGGUUUUCCCAGGGCGAGGCUCAUCCAUUGCACUCCGGAUGUGCUGACCCCUGCGAUUUCCCCAAAUGUGGCAAACUCAACUGCAUAAUUUGUGGUAGUGUGGAACUGCAUUCGCGCCCUCCCCU
rnacentral:snRNA from 1 species